AGUUAAUUAGCUUAAGAAAAGCGUAUAUUUUGAAAAUAUAAAAAAAAGGUUUAAUUCCUUUAUUAACUU
rnacentral:tRNA from 1 species